CCAGCAACUUUAAAUACCAAACAAUGCCAAUACCAAUGUUCAUUUUUAAAAUAGAAGUCUAGUUUAGCUUUUAUUUUUUAAUGAUUAACACCCUUCCCAAGGUUGUCAUGUGAGAAUUUUUAGCUCUGUCUCGGCCUCAGGAUAUUAGAAGAAUUUGUGUUGAACAUAAACAAGUCUGAAAGAAGAAGAUGGUGGCUGAAUCUCUUCUUUCCAUGGGAUGAUGAAUCUGUCUAGAUCAGUGCUAUCCCACAGGCCUGUUUUCAUGAUGGAAUGAAAUGGAGAGCUAUUGGAUGGAGAGCUAUUAUCUGUGCUCUCCAAGGGAACUCCAUCUGGAAGAGAAAUGGGCACCACCUCUUAAUCACAGAACCAACCCCACUCAACAACCCUUAAGUCCCAUCUAGGUGGGCCAAGUCACAGCAAGAGAGACAUCCGGCUUUCACCAGCAUGGACUCUGCCCUGAGGAAGAUGUGUUCUUCCUAUGGCUGAAUGUUCAGACGUGGGCC
rnacentral:lncRNA from 1 species